rfam:Gorilla gorilla mitochondrial cyt b gene (partial), tRNA-Thr gene, tRNA-Pro gene and D-loop (partial), isolate CM16
UUCUUUCAUGGGGAGGCAAAUUUGGGUACCACCCAAGUAUUGGCUAACCCAUCAAUAAUUAUCAUGUAUGUCGUGCAUUCCUGCCAGACACCAUGAAUAAUGCACA